rnacentral:rRNA from 1 species
UACAGAGGGGGCAAGCGUUGUUCGGAAUUACUGGGCGUAAAGGGCGCGUAGGCGGCCUGCUAAGUCGAACGUGAAAUCCCUGGGCUCAACCCAGGAACUGCGUCCGAUACUGGUUGGCUUGAAUCCGGGAGAGGGAUGUGGAAUUCCUAGUGUAGAGGUGAAAUUCGUAGAUAUUAGGAAGAACACCGGUGGCGAAGGCGGCCCACUGGUCCGGUACUGACGCUGAGGUGCGAAAGCGUGGGGAGCAAACAGG